rnacentral:rRNA from 1 species
AUUGAACGCUGGCGGCAUGCCUUACACAUGCGAGUCGAACGGCAUCGCGGGAAAGCUUGCUUUCCUGGCGGCGAGUGGCGAACGGGUGAGUAACACAUCGGAACGUACCGGCUAGUGGGGGAUAACCCGUCGAAAGACGGGCUAAUACCGCAUACGCUCUUCGGAGGAAAGCAGGGGACCUUUGGGCCUUGCGCUAGCCGAGCGGCCGAUGUCCGAUUAGCUAGUUGGUGGGGUAAAGGCCUACCAAGGCGACGAUCGGUAGCGGGUCUGAGAGGACGAUCCGCCACACUGGGACUGAGACACGGCCCAGACUCCUACGGGAGGCAGCAGUGGGGAAUCUUGGACAAUGGGGGCAACCCUGAUCCAGCAAUGCCGCGUGGGUGAAGAAGGCCUUCGGGUUGUAAAGCCCUUUCGGCAGGGAAGAAAUCGGCGGGGCGAAUAACCCUGCUGGAUGACGGUACCUGCAGAAGAAGCACCGGCUAACUACGUG